UAGGGAAUAUUGCACAAUAGGCGAAAGCCUGAUGCAGCAACGCCGCGUGCGCGAUGACGGCCUUCGGGUUGUAAAGCGCUUUUCGGGGAGAUGAGGAAGGACAGUAUCCCCGGAAUAAGGCUCGGCUAACUACGUGCCAGCAGCCGCGGUAACACGUAGGAGCCAAGCGUUAUCCGAAUUCACUGGGCGUAAAGCGCGUGUAGGCGGCUUGGUAAGUUGGAUGUGAAAGCUCCUGGCUCAACUGGGAGAGGACGUUCAGUACUGCCGGGCUAGAGGGCGACAGAGGGAGGUGGAAUUCCCGGUGUAGUGGUGAAAUGCGUAGAUAUCGGGAGGAACACCAGUGGCGAAAGCGGCCUCCUGGGUCGCACCUGACGCUCGGACGCGAAAGCUAGGGGAGCGAACGG
rnacentral:rRNA from 1 species